GGAAGUAAACGUCGUAACAAGGUUUCCGUAGGUGAACCUGCGGAAGGAUCAUUAUUGUAUAACCGAGGUGCGAGGGCUGUCGCUGACCCGAAAGGUCGUGCACGCCCGAGUGCCCUCACACACAUCCAUCUCACCCCUAUGAGCACCACCGCGUGGGUCCCCCUUUGGCUUGUUCGGAGGGGGGCUUACGUUUUCACACAAACUUUGUAUGCAGUGUAGAAUGUAUUUUUUGUUUUUGCGAUCACGCAAUCAAUACAACUUUCAACAACGGAUCUCUUGGCUCUC
rnacentral:misc_RNA from 1 species